AUUGAACGCUGGCGGCAUGCCUUACACAUGCAAGUCGAACGGUAACGCGGGGCAACCUGGCGACGAGUGGCGAACGGGUGAGUAAUAUAUCGGAACGUGCCCAGUAGUGGGGGAUAGCCCGGCGAAAGCCGGAUUAAUACCGCAUGAGACCUGAGGGUGAAAGCGGGGGAUCGCAAGACCUCGCGCUAUUGGAGCGGCCGAUAUCAGAUUAGGUAGUUGGUGGGGUAAAGGCCUACCAAGCCGACGAUCUGUAGCUGGUCUGAGAGGACGACCAGCCACACUGGGACUGAGACACGGCCCAGACUCCUACGGGAGGCAGCAGUGGGGAAUUUUGGACAAUGGGCGCAAGCCUGAUCCAGCAAUGCCGCGUGCGGGAAGAAGGCCUCGGUUGUAA
rnacentral:rRNA from 1 species